rnacentral:rRNA from 1 species
CCUACGGGUGGCAGCAGUGAGGAAUAUUGGUCAAUGGGCGCAAGCCUGAACCAGCCACGCCGCGUGAAGGAAGACUGCCCUACGGGUUGUAAACUUCUUUUAUAAAGGAGUAAAGUGAGGCACGUGUGCCUUUUUGUAUGUACUUUAUGAAUAAGGAUCGGCUAACUCCGUGCCAGCAGCCGCGGUAAUACGGAGGAUCCGAGCGUUAUCCGGAUUUAUUGGGUUUAAAGGGCGCGUAGAUGGGUUGUUAAGUCAGUUGUGAAGGUUUGGGGCUCAACCGUAAAAUUGCAAUUGAUACUGGCAGUCUUGAGUACAGGUGAGGUAGGCGGAAUUCGUGGUGUAGCGGUGAAAUGCUUAGAUAUCACGAAGAACUCCGAUUGCGAAGGCAGCUUACUAAACUGCCACUGACAUUGAUGCUCGAAAGUGUGGGUAGCAAACAGGAUUAGAUACCCUUGUAGUC